AAGCCAGCUAUGAAUCUGCUUAUCUGUAAGUGUUUGUGCAGAAGUGUACCAAAAGCUGGCGAUAGUAAUGCCAUGUUACGAGCCUUAAAGACAUCAUUGAAGUCAUUAAGGUCCCUGAAAAUGGCUACACGU
rnacentral:snoRNA from 1 species